rnacentral:lncRNA from 1 species
UCUAAAAAAGGCGGAGGUCUGUCGGGUUGCGCUGAGAGGUUCGCGGAACUACUAAAGAAAAUUGGCUGCUCUUCUUGGUUUGUGAGCUGAAAUUAGAAUGGCCAGCAAUCCUGGAAGUGAUGCAGCUUUGGAUACUCAGAAGUCAGUGCUUUCAGGGAGUCCUCGAACAAAGAAAUUCCCACUAACUGAACAGGAGGUAUUUUAUAUGAAUUGUAGAGCCGCCUACUUAACCAUCUUCAAAAGCAGCUUGGAAAACAUUAUGUCUAAAGAUCAACUCUACUUAGCUCUUCAGCAUGCAGGAAGAAAUCCAUCUCAAAAGACCAUUAAUAAGUAUUGGACUCCUCAAACUGCCAAACUAAAUUUUGAUGAUUUUUGUAUAAUUUUAAGCAAGGAAAAACCUACUUCGAAAGCAGACUUACUAAAAUCAUUUAAACAAUUAGAUGUAAAUGAUGAUGGCUCUAUCCUACACUCUGACCUUCAUAAAUAUCUAACCAAGAGAGGUGAGAAGAUGACUCAGGAAGAAGUAAAUGCUGUAAUAAGUUUGGCUGAUGUAAAUGCUAAUGGAAAGUUUGACUACGUUAAGUUUUGUAAAUUAUACAUGGCAACCAGUGAGCAGUGUCUCAAGACUACACUAGAAAGACUGGAGGCCGACAGUAAACUGAGGCGUCAACAGUUUGGAAGCCAAAUGGAAGGGUCCCCUGAAAGGGAUCCAUCACCAGUACCAAAACCA